rnacentral:rRNA from 1 species
UGGGGAAUUUUGGACAAUGGGGGAAACCCUGAUCCAGCCAUCCCGCGUGUAUGAUGAAGGCCUUCGGGUUGUAAAGUACUUUUGGCAGAGAAGAAAAGGUACCUCCUAAUACGAGGUACUGCUGACGGUAUCUGCAGAAUAAGCACCGGCUAACUACGUGCCAGCAGCCGCGGUAAUACGUAGGGUGCAAGCGUUAAUCGGAAUUACUGGGCGUAAAGCGUGUGUAGGCGGUUCGGAAAGAAAGAUGUGAAAUCCCAGGGCUUAACCUUGGAACUGCAUUUUUAACUGCCGAGCUAGAGUAUGUCAGAGGGGGGUAGAAUUCCACGUGUAGCAGUGAAAUGCGUAGAUAUGUGGAGGAAUACCGAUGGCGAAGGCAGCCCCCUGGGAUAAUACUGACGCUCAGACACGAAAGCGUGGGGAGCAAACAGG